CUGGACUAGGUGUUUCUCAGUCCUUAGGUUUCUCACUUUUGUUCGUUUAUCAAGUGAAUGCCUACUGUGUGCCAGGCACUGUG
rnacentral:pre_miRNA from 1 species